CAGCAGCCGCGGGAAUACGUAGGGUGCAAGCGUUAAUCGGAAUUACUGGGCGUAAAGCGUGCGCAGGCGGUUAUAUAAGACAGGUGUGAAAUCCCCGGGCUCAACCUGGGAACUGCAUUUGUGACUGUAUAGCUAGAGUACGGCAGAGGGGGAUGGAAUUCCGCGUGUAGCAGUGAAAUGCGUAGAUAUGCGGAGGAACACCGAUGGCGAAGGCAAUCCCCUGGGCCUGUACUGACGCUCAUGCACGAAAGCGUGGGGAGCAAACAGGAUUAGAUACCCGCGUAGUCCCUGUCUCUUAUAC
rnacentral:rRNA from 1 species